ACAUACUCAUUUAGCAUGUGCAAACUCUUGCUGCGGCAAUUCAAGCAAUAUAGCAGGCUAACGCAGGCACCUCGGAAGGCAUCUCGACCAUCACCACCUCACCUCAGAUAAUAAUAGAGAUAAAGGAGAAGCUAUCAAGAGCAAGGAGGAUGUGGGUCUCAUCGAUUCGAUGUGAUCUAGCUGCAAGAUGAGAUUGAGGAGUUCAUUCGGUGUAGACAAUUAAACAAAUUCCUGAGGCAUCAGAGAGAGCAACAUGAAGCUUUGCCUGAAUUACCUCAUCUACCUAAACCACCUCGGCAAGAAGAACCUAUGAAAAAUCAAUCUACUAUCGAGGUAAUAAACACCAUCACUGAGGGCAGUUCGGUGGCAUAUCAAAAAGCUCGACAAUACCAACCAAGAGGAUAGGCUCUAAGAGAGAUAGACUCACACAACUCAAAAACUCUCAUGGUGAGAGGCUCCCAAGCCCUCAUCUCUUAUUUUAUUUUCUUUCUUUCUUUGUAGGUCCAUAGAUCUAUGAGCACUCAAGGUUGAGACUGAGGUGAAGACUAAAAUCGAGGCUGAAGUAAAGCCCAAGCCUGACAUCGAGAUGACCCAAGGCUAAGAUGAGCCCA
rnacentral:lncRNA from 1 species